rnacentral:rRNA from 1 species
AGUUUGAUCAUGGCUCAGAUUGGAACGCUGGGCGGCCGGCUUUAACACAUGCCAGUCGAGCGGUAGCACAAGAGAGCUUGCUCUCUGGGUGNCGAGCGGCGGGACNGGGUGAGUAAUGUCUGGGAAACUGCCUGAUGGAGGGGGAUAACUACUG